rnacentral:tRNA from 1 species
GAUGUCGUGGUCUAGUGGAUAAGGCGAUAGACUAUAAUUCUUUUGGGAUAUUCCCGCGUAGGUUCGAAUCCUGCCGACAUCG